UACGUAGGGUGCAAGCGUUAAUCGGAAUUACUGGGCGUAAAGCGUGCGCAGGCAGUUGGGCAAGACAGAUGUGAAAUCCCCGGGCUCAACCUGGGAAUUGCAUUUGUGACUGCACGGCUAGAGUGUGUCAGAGGGGGGUAGAAUUCCACGUGUAGCAGUGAAAUGCGUAGAGAUGUGGAGGAAUACCGAUGGCGAAGGCAGCCCCCUGGGAUAACACUGACGCUCAUGCACGAAAGCGUGGGGAGCAAACAGG
rnacentral:rRNA from 1 species